rnacentral:rRNA from 1 species
AACGAACGCUGGCGGCAGGCCUAACACAUGCAAGUCGAGCGCCCGCAAGGGAGCGGCAGACGGGUGAGUAACGCGUGGGAAUCUACCCCGAGGUACGGAACAACUCGGCGAAAGCUGAGCUGAUACCGUAUGUGACCGAGAGGUGAAAGAUUUAUCGCCUCGGGAUGAGCCCGCGUAGGAUUAGCUAGUUGGUGGGGUAACGGCCCACCAAGGCGACGAUCCUUAGCUGGUCUGAGAGGAUGAUCAGCCACACUGGGACUGAGACACGGCCCAGACUCCUACGGGAGGCAGCAGUGGGGAAUAUUGGACAAUGGGGGCAACCCUGAUCCAGCCAUGCCGCGUGAGUGAUGAAGGCCUUAGGGUUGUAAAGCUCUUUCGCCCGCGAAGAUAAUGACGGUAGCGGGAGAAGAAGCCCCGGCUAACUUCGUGCCAGCCGCCGCCGUAACAC